UACGUAGGGUGCAAGCGUUAAUCGGAAUUACUGGGCGUAAAGCGUGCGCAGGCGGUCUGUUAAGACCGAUGUGAAAUCCCCGGGCUUAACCUGGGAACUGCAUUGGUGACUGGCAGGCUUUGAGUGUGGCAGAGGGAGGUAGAAUUCCACGUGUAGCAGUGAAAUGCGUAGAGAUGUGGAGGAAUACCGAUGGCGAAGGCAGCCUCCUGGGCCAACACUGACGCUCAUGCACGAAAGCGUGGGGAGCGAAACAGGAUUAGAACCUACCGGAGU
rnacentral:rRNA from 1 species